AUUGAACGCUGGCGGCAGGCCUAACACAUGCAAGUCGAACGCAGUGGGGACGGGUGAGUAACACGUGGGUAACCUCCCAUCAGAGGGGAUAACACUUGGAAACAGGUGCUAAACCGAUACUGAUGGAUGGACCCGCGGUGCAUUAGCUAGUUGGUGAGGUAACGGCUCACCAAGGCCACGAUGCAUAGGCGACCUGAGAGGGUGUUCGGCCACCCUGGGACUGAGAGACGGCCCAUACGCCACUGGGAGGGGGCAGUAGGGAAUCUUAGGCAAUGGACGAAGGUCUGACCGAGCAACGCCGCGGGAGUGAAAAAGUGUUUCGGUUCGUAAAACUCUGUUGGUAGGGAAGCGGUAUCUAACCAGAAAGCCACGGCUAACUCCGUGCCAGCAGCCGCGGUAAUAC
rnacentral:rRNA from 1 species